GGGUCGAUGCUCGAGCGGUCAAAAGGGCCAGACUGUAAAUUCCCUGGCGAUAUGUCUAUGCUGGUCCAAAUCCAGCUCGGCCCA
rnacentral:tRNA from 1 species